UGCCGUUUUGAACAGCCCCCUUCAAAGGCAGGCCGGUAGACAUGAAGGCUGCGAUGACUGCACACGUCUUUGGAAGCAAGUUCCCCCACCCGCUGCGUUAAACCCGGACGCCUGAACAAACACGCAGCAGGCCUAUCUUGAAAAGCUGCCCGGCAAGUGACACUUCAUCCCUUCUCCAUGCUGAGAACAGCUGUGCCUCUCACACCAAGUUGCUGCAGGUGUUGAGAAUUUCGUUUUGCCAAGGAUGUGCUGAUAUAUGCACCGUUUUCAGAUUCAGAAGAGAAGGAAUUUGAGGUGUACAGAACGUGAAUGUGGCACAACUAACAGAUUCGCCCAUCCCGAAACUACUAUCCGACUCAGUUGGUGUGGAUUUGGUUACGUUGCACAUCUUUGGGGUUAAGAAGACUGUGCGAUGAAAAGAACACUUUGAAGCACUCGGUCCUAUCAGUUUUGCCCUUGAUGGGUAUGGAGGCCUGGAAGCAUCCGGUGUGGAGAGGAAGAGAGAAUAGCUCGUCUCCUGCUCUUUCCAGUCUCCUUCCCAGAAUACACCAGUGAAGCGCUCUCCAAGGCUGAGUUUGCAAGUUCAGAGAGGCAGCCCGAAAUGCUCUUGCCCUAGUCCCUGACCUUAUAUCUGGGGAUAACAAUUAUCCAGUGGCUUCCCCACAUGCUUUCUAGGGACCAUCGGAUCAUCCCCUAAGCAGAUUCAAAUGCCCACGUGAAAGUCUUCAACAGAAAACUAUCGUAAUCAGCAAUGGGAAACUAAAUAUCCAGGGAUGUGGUUCAAAAUUACAGUGAAAUAGAGAAUCCCUUUGCACUACACUAAAGCAGGAAAAUUCAAGUUUUGAAAGGAUAAGACAUUGGUCUGAUACAUCCCAGUGUUCAAGUUCUUUGAUGCUGGAUACCUGCAGCUUUUCUGGAAUGGCACAAAAUAUUAUUGCUACUGUAACUUUGUUUUUAAAACCUGCAACUAUGUAAAAAUGUUAAGUAGAGAUCAGCUUUGGAGCCCUGUUUGGGCAGCGAGGUGAUGCAGAAAAUAAAUACACGAUGAAGCUUA